UAGAAUAUCACAAUACAACAUUCUUGGAUCAUUGCUGCCUAUGAACAAUGUGAAGUGCUUUUCAAAAUGCCAGCAGAACAUGUUAGCAAUUUAUCGACUAAUGCCUUUAGGAACAUCUUUUGUGAACUAAUGACAACUCCAAAUCACAACAAUCGCUUCAAUUUCAAAAAAUAGGGUGUUGCAGUGGGGAGCUUACUAUCUACAAGAAUAGAUUAUAGCUCCAUCUCAAAAACACUUCAAAGGCAUGCGAGAAACCUACAAGUUAACAAGUUUUAAAUCAAAGUUGUUACCUUAGCUAUUGGAAUUGCACUUCAAAUAAACUUAAUUAUGUAUUCUCUUUUCAAAUGAAA